UACGGGGGGGGCAAGCGUUGUUCGGAAUUACUGGGCGUAAAGGGCUCGUAGGCGGCCAACUAAGUCAGACGUGAAAUCCCUCGGCUUAACCGGGGAACUGCGUCUGAUACUGGGUGGCUUGAAUUCGGGAGAGGGAUGCGGAAUUCCAGGUGUAGCGGUGAAAUGCGUAGAUAUCUGGAGGAACACCGGUGGCGAAGGCGGCAUCCUGGACCGACAUUGACGCUGAUGCGCGAAAGCCAGGGGAGCAAACGGG
rnacentral:rRNA from 1 species